GACGAACGCUGGCGGCGUGCCUAAAACAUGCAAGUCGAACGAGGGUAGUAAUACCUUAGUGGCGAACGGCGGAGUAAUACAUAAGCAACGUGCCCCGAAGACUGGGAUAUACAGCCGAAAGGCUGGGCAAUACCGGAUGUGACGGAAGGAUGGCAUCAUUCCUUUCCUAAUUAAACUUAGUUUUUUGUCGUUCGGGAGGCGGUCUUAGUCGG
rnacentral:rRNA from 1 species